UACGUAGGGUCCGAGCGUUGUCCGGAAUUACUGGGCGUAAAGCGCACGUAGGUGGUUUGCUAAGUCAGCUGUGAAAUCCCCGGGCUCAACCUGGGCACUGCAGUUGAAACUGGCAAGCUAGAGUAGGGUAGAGGGGUGUGGAAUUCCAGGUGUAGCGGUGAAAUGCGUAGAUAUCUGGAGGAACAUCAGUGGCGAAGGCGACACCCUGGACUCAUACUGACACUGAGGUGCGAAAGCGUGGGGAGCAAACAGG
rnacentral:rRNA from 1 species